rnacentral:misc_RNA from 1 species
GAUGAAGAAGGUAGCGAAAUGCGAUAAGUAGUGUGAAUUGCAGAAUUCAGUGAAUCAUCGAAUCUUUGAACGCACAUUGCGCCCCUUGGUAUUCCAUGGGGCAUGCCUGUUCGAGCGUCAUUUGUACCUUCAAGCUUUGCUUGGUGUUGGGUGUUUGUCUCGCCUUUGCGUGUAGACUCGCCUUAAAAUAAUUGGCAGCCGGCGUAUUGAUUUCGGAGCGCAGUACAUCUCGCGCUUUGCACUCAUAACGACAGCGUCCAAAAGUACAUUUUACACUCUUGACCUCGGAUCAGGUAGGGAUACCCGCUGAACUUAAGCAUAUCAAUAAGCGGAGGA